rnacentral:rRNA from 1 species
AGAGUUUGAUCAUGGCUCAGGAUGAACGCUAGCGGCAGGCUUAAUACAUGCAAGUCGAGGGAGAUUUUAGCUUCGGCUAAAUGGAACCGGCGCACGGGUGCGUAACGCGUACACAACAUGCCUUAUACUGGAGAAUAGCCUCGGGAAACUGGGAGUAAUCCUCCAUAAUAUUAUCGGGUGGCAUCAUUUGAUAAUUAAAGCUCAGGCGGUAUAAGAUUGGUGUGCGUAUGAUUAGCUAGUUGGUAGGGUAACGGCCUACCAAGGCGACGAUCAUUAGCUGGCGUGAGAGCGCGACCAGCCACACUGGAACUGAGACACGGUCCAGACUCCUACGGGAGGCAGCAGUAGGGAAUAUUGGACAAUGGGCGAAAGCCUGAUCCAGCCAUGCCGCGUGAUGGAUGAAGGCCCUCUGGGUUGUAAACAUCUUUUAUCAGGGAAGAAACAUCUCGUUUCUACGAGACUUGACGGUACCUGAUGAAUAAGCACCGGCUAACUCCGUGCCAGCAGCCGCGGUAAUACGGAGGGUGCAAGCGUUAUCCGGAUUUACUGGGUUUAAAGGGUGCGUAGGCGGGAAAAUAAGUCAGUGGUGAAAGCACCGGGCUCAACUCGGUAACUGCCAUUGAUACUGUUUUUCUUGAAUGCGAUUGAGGUAAGCGGAAUGUUGCAUGUAGCGGUGAAAUGCUUAGAUAUGUUACAGAAC